rnacentral:ncRNA from 2 species
UUGAACCUUCGGGGCAGGGUGAAAUUCCCUACCGGCGGUGAUGGACGGCUCACGAGUUGAGCCGCCCUCAGUCCGUGACCCGCGCAUCUUCAUUUCCUGGCGGAAAGGAAGAUGCCGGUGGACUCGGUGCAAUUCCGAGACCGACAGUAUAGUCUGGAUGGGAGAAGGGGAAG